GAUGUUAUGCCAGAUAAAUUGGGCUAUCUUGAUGGGGUAAAUAUGGGAUUAAUUGUCUUUAACAUCU
rnacentral:tRNA from 1 species